GCUCCUUCUUCCUUUCUUGCCGCGGGGGAGCAGGAGAAGGUGAGGGGCGGCGCGGCGCGGCGGAGCAGGAGAGGUUGAGGGGCGGCGCGGCGCGGCGGAGUAAGAGAGAUUGUGGGGCAGCGCGGCGGAGCAGUUCAGAUUGAGGGGCGGGCACAGCUCGUACGCCACGGCGAGCGCCCCAUCGAGGCACGACGACCGCGGGAGGCAGAACGCCAUGCUGGCCGGACCCAACGCCGGCGGGUGCGCCAGGGCCAGCCUGUCCGCCAGGCCCUGCACGAGCACGACGCGACACGCUGGAACGCCGUGCUGUGCACGGGCGCGCCGACCUGCAGCUCACGCAGCAGCGCAGCGGCCUGGGCGCGGUCGCGGCACACCACCGCCUCGGCGCAGGCGACCAGCAGCUGCACGAGCCGCAUGCCAUCAGCUCCUCUGCCACCACCACUCACUGCUCCCGUUUCGUGAUUUGGAUGGACAAUUGAAGGCCGUAUCCUUGUCCAACACCAAGCAGUGGAGUGCCCGACCCAGAUUUCAGUUGCUUGCUAUAAGAAGGAGGGGUCCUCGGCCCGAAUCUCCAUCAGGUUGUGUCCUUGGACCAUAAGCUCCAUCAAAGCCAGUCCAAAUUGCAAUUUUUGACGAAACGUCCAAUGUCGGCACCAAGUUCGCCGGAGGAACAAGUGCCGAGUUCGCCGGAGGAACAAGAACAUCCGUCCAACCGUCCAAUUUCGCCUGCCUCGGCUACACCAGAGGACAUAGCCACAAGGGAUAUUUCUGAGGGGCUGCGUCUUGAGCAAAUGAUCAUAUCCAAAAAUCAUGACACACUGCCCUCUAUAUAGUCACAGCUCUCCAUCCGGCAUGAUUUUUAUCAUUCUAAUGUUGGCAAGUGAUCUUAAGACUUUUUUCCCCGAGUGAUUCGUAAGACUAAUUACCCUACACAAUUCGCAGUUUUAGUAUCUCUUAUGCACCUAAAUAUAUUUGUAACUGAAAAAAUGUUCAGGUUCCCGCAGGUUUUGCCUUGAUUAACAAAUUGGAAUGAAUUUGUUUGUGCUGUAGCCAAGAGGAUCUGAUUGUCUGUUUUCUUACACAACAUGCUACCCUUAAUUGUCAGAAAAAACCGAGUUUCCCUUGGUUCCGUUUGUGCUGUGUGCCUGUGUCAUCUGUUAUUCAGUGUAUUUUAUUGAGAUUUACAUCUAUUAAGGUCAUCCAAUCAGUAAAUUUGGAUUAAGAAUUACUUACUAGACUGGAGGCAACAUUUUUUUUCCCUCAUGGCUUCUUCCUACUCAGAGUCAUAUUCUCUCUAAAUUCUUAGUCUAAAUCCAAGCCGAGAAUAGGUCUGGAAUAGGUCAGUAAAAUCAUGUAUUGCUGCCCUCAUAGCUUAUAUAUAUGUAUGUGUGUGAUAUGCACUGCUGUCUUUUAAAUCAUGUUGCCUUGUCCUGAAGUCUUCACAUAUAUUUGGGAGGAGAUGAGUAAGUUUAUCAGAAUUUAUGUUGGCUAGACCUACCUAUAUGUCAAUCCAUACUACUCCUAGCUUCUUGUGAAUGUGCUGAUAUUUAUCCUUGUCUUCUCUCCUUUUUGUGCUCUUCUUUUUAUUACUCAAAUAAAUCUGUAAUUUAGACAGGCUAACAUAAAUAUCUCAAAGCUUUUUGUGUGUUCAGAGAUUUAUUUAGAGAUGGUAAAAUAAAGAUCUUGAUGUAUCGACGGUUUGUGGUCUUGGAGCUGUUCUGUUACAGUUCAGGAUACUCAAUUUCCUCCUGCUGGUAUCAUCGUCUCCCUGUAAUGUGAUGUAGCACAGUACUAUGCACUUCAGAACUAAGCCCAGAACCUAGCUAGCUUACUUGAGGGUCGGCUCCGGAUUUUGUCGAUCUUGUUUGUGUAUAAUUUGUGAGGGGCUGUACAGAGUCAAUUAAUCAGUCAAUCAAUAUGAACCUGUUUUUCUCUACGGUCCUCUGAACAUACUCGCUAUAAGAACACUAAUUACCCUACGGAGUGGACCUGGGAUAGUUCCAGAGUAUGGACUAGAAGGCGGAGGAAACAAAAAUUAGGUGGUCGAAUUGGUUGUAUCUACCAUGUACGUCUGGUGAGCUUUUUCCCAUUGGAUGUUACUCAUGGUAGUCACAGGUGCACUUGCUUUGAGGAUGUGAGAUGUUAUAAUGUUGUCCUUUAUGGCACAAGCCUGGGGCUUAGUCAAGAUUUUCGAAGUAGCUAUUGUAUGGGCUACUCCUUUUCAGUUACGGCAUCUCUUUGUGACAAUUUUGUUGCACUAUGAAAUUACAAGGUAUUGGCCCAGCAAGGCAGAAUAUAUAUCUUCCUCAUUUUACAACACAUAUCUUCCCUAAUAUAAUUUUAAUUAGUUGGGAUUCUUACAGUGGUAAUCUUCCUCAUUUUGCAACAUAGGUCUUUUUACCUCUUCUAUUUUGUAUCACAUUCUAUUAAAUAAUUGGAAUUCUUAUUUGUUGCAAGAGAACCUGUUGUGGCCGAAGUGCAGAUGUUCAAAGUUUCAGUACAGCAGCUUCAUUCGGUUGCAAAGUUUGCUUAAGUAACUUUUGGUUAGAAUGGUCCAAUAGUUCACGUCUCUCAGCGCUGCAUAAAAAAUUCAGGUUAUGGAUUUUGGUGGCUCUCUUUCUUAUUCUCAUGGCUGUUUCCUUAAUUUCUUUGGAUGGUCUCUUUACACGACUUUCAGAUUGAGCCCAUUUGCACCUGUCAAUCUAUAGACAUAUAUGUGGCUGGCUACACCUAUCCAUCUACUACCAUAGUUACCGUCUUACUAUCUGUAUUAGCCAAGUUGUUCCAGGUUUUUCUAACUCUUUCAUGGAUAUCUUCUAUGAACCAGAGCACACUGUUCUGCGCUCCGAGCAAGCGCCACUGAUGCUACAAUAGAUCAAAGUUCUGAAAUUGUGAGCAUUCAUAUACAGUCUUUGGAUCAAAUAACAAAGGCAGCACACAUAAUUACAAGGACCAUAAUGGAACCCAAUAAUGACUUCCACAAGAAUGUAUUCAUGGGCCAUGCACAUCAGCAUACAAGACUGUGCAAUGUGGCAUUAUCCGUUUAUCAUUUAGCCGCUUUCUCUAAUCUUCAGGCAAGCACCCGAAGCAAUUAUUGCCGCCAUAAACGAGAUAUGCGACACACAUGUAGAUCCACACGUACACAGAAUGAAUGACCGAAGAAAAGUUGGUUCUCUCUCUAUUCCCGACCAUUUUAUUUAUCUUAUUUUUAUUUUCUUCUAUUUCCAAGUUCCUAAAACUGUAAUGCAAGUCCUUGAGUUUUUGUCAUGUACAUGAAUUGAUCAUGUUUACGUUACAGUGUGAAUAUACAAUACUACCCA